rnacentral:rRNA from 1 species
UUUAAAGAGAGUUUGAUCCUGGCUCAGGACGAACGCUGGCGGCGUGCCUAAUACAUGCAAGUCGAACGAACGGAGGAAGAGCUUGCUCUUCCAAAGUUAGUGGCGGACGGGUGAGUAACACGUGGGCAACCUGCCUGUAAGUUGGGGAUAACUCCGGGAAACCGGGGCUAAUACCGAAUGAUAGAAUGUGGCGCAUGCCACGCUUUUGAAAGAUGGUUUCGGCUAUCGCUUACAGAUGGGCCCGCGGUGCAUUAGCUAGUUGGUAGGGUAAUGGCCUACCAAGGCAACGAUGCAUAGCCGACCUGAGAGGGUGAUCGGCCACACUGGGACUGAGACACGGCCCAGACUCCUACGGGAGGCAGCAGUAGGGAAUCUUCCGCAAUGGACGAAAGUCUGACGGAGCAACGCCGCGUGUAUGAAGAAGGUUUUCGGAUCGUAAAGUACUGUUGUUAGAGAAGAACAAGGAUAAGAGUAACUGCUUGUCCCUUGACGGUAUCUAACCAGAAAGCCACGGCUAACUACGUGCCAGCAGCCGCGGUAAUACGUAGGUGGCAAGCGUUGUCCGGAUUUA